rnacentral:rRNA from 1 species
UUUAUUUGAGAGUUUGAUCCUGGCUCAGGAUGAACGCUGGCGGCGUGCCUAACACAUGCAAGUUGAGCGAUUUACUUAGGUAAAGAGCGGCGGACGGGUGAGUAACGCGUGGGUAACCUACCCUGUACACACGGAUAACAUACCGAAAGGUAUGCUAAUACGGGAUAACAUAUUUGAGAGGCAUCUCUUGAAUAUCAAAGGUGAGCCAGUACAGGAUGGACCCGCGUCUGAUUAGCUAGUUGGUAAGGUAACGGCUUACCAAGGCGACGAUCAGUAGCCGACCUGAGAGGGUGAUCGGCCACA